GCCGCUAUGGUGGAAUGGUAGACACACUGCAUUCAAAAUGCAGCGAGUUUUCUCGUGUCGGUUCAAGUCCGACUAGCGGUA
rnacentral:tRNA from 1 species